rnacentral:tRNA from 1 species
GGACUGUAGUUCAGUGGUAGAACACUUGCCUAUCUUGUGGGAGGCACUGGGUUCAAUUCUCAGCUCCA